rnacentral:rRNA from 2 species
GUCGCCUCCUAAAGAGUAACGGAGGCGCCCAAAGGUUCCCUCAGAAUGGUUGGAAAUCAUUCGUAGAGUGUAAAGGCACAAGGGAGCUUGACUGCGAGACCUACAAGUCGAGCAGGGACGAAAGUCGGGCUUAGUGAUCCGGUGGUUCCGCAUGGAAGGGCCAUCGCUCAACGGAUAAAAGCUACCCCGGGGAUAACAGGCUUAUCUCCCCCAAGAGUCCACAUCGACGGGGAGGUUUGGCACCUCGAUGUCGGCUCAUCGCAUCCUGGGGCUGUAGUCGGUCCCAAGGGUUGGGCUGUUCGCCCAUUAAAGCGGUACGCGAGCUGGGUUCAGAACGUCGUGAGACAGUUCGGUCCCUAUCCGUCGUGGGCGUAGGAAAUUUGAGAGGAGCUGUCCUUAGUACGAGAGGACCGGGAUGGACACACCGCUGGUGUACCAGUUGUCUUGCCAAAGGCAUCGCUGGGUAGCUAUGUGUGGACGGGAUAAGUGCUGAAAGCAUCUAAGCAUGAAGCCCCCCUCAAGAUGAGAUUUCCCAUAGCGCAAGCUAGUAAGAUCCCUGAAAGAUGAUCAGGUUGAUAGGUCAGAGGUGGAAGCACGG